AGCGAACGCUGGCGGCAGGCCUAACACAUGCAAGUCGAACGAACCUUUCGGGGUUAGUGGCGGACGGGUGAGUAACACGUGGGAACGUGCCUUUAGGUUCGGAAUAACUCAGGGAAACUUGUGCUAAUACCGAAUGUGCCCUUCGGGGGAAAGAUUAAUCGCCUUUAGAGCGGCCCGCGUCUGAUUAGCUAGUUGGUUGAGGUAAUGGCUCACCAAGGCGACGAUCAGUAGCUGGUCUGAGAGGAUGAUCAGCCACAUUGGGACUGAGACACGGCCCAAACUCCUACGGGAGGCAGCAGUGGGGAAUCUUGCGCAAUGGGCGAAAGCCUGACGCAGCCACGCCGCGUGAAUGAUGAAGGUCUUAGGAUUGUAAAAUUCUUUCACCGGGGACGAUAAUGACGGUACCCGGAGAAGAAGCCCCGGCUAACUUCGUG
rnacentral:rRNA from 1 species